rnacentral:rRNA from 1 species
GAACUUUCCAGAGAUGGAUUGGUGCCUUCGGGAACUCUGAGACAGGUGCUGCAUGGCUGUCGUCAGCUCGUGUUGUGAAAGUGUUGGGUUAAGUCCCGCAACGAGCGCAACCCUUAUCCUUUGUUGCCAGCGGUUAGGCCGGGAACUCAAAGGAGACUGCCAGUGAUAAACUGGAGGAAGGUGGGGAUGACGUCAAGUCAUCAUGGCCCUUACGAGUAGGGCUACACACGUGCUACAAUGGCGCAUACAAAGAGAAGCGACCUCGCGAGAGCAAGCGGACCUCAUAAAGUGCGUCGUAGUCCGGAUUGGAGUCUGCAACUCGACUCCAUGAAGUCGGAAUCGCUAGUAAUCGUGGAUCAGAAUGCCACGGUGAAUACGUUCCCGGGCCUUGUACACACCGCCCGUCACACCAUGGGAGUGGGUUGCAAAAGAAGUAGGUAGCUUAACCUUCGGGAGGGCGUUUACCACUUUGUGAUUCAUGACUGGGGUGAAGUCGUAACAAGGUAAGCGUAGUGCU